rnacentral:rRNA from 1 species
CAGCAGCCGCGGUAAUACAGAGGGUGCGAGCGUUAAUCGGAUUUACUGGGCGUAAAGCGUGCGUAGGCGGCUUUUUAAGUCGGAUGUGAAAUCCCUGAGCUUAACUUAGGAAUUGCAUUCGAUACUGGGAAGCUAGAGUAUGGGAGAGGAUGGUAGAAUUCCAGGUGUAGCGGUGAAAUGCGUAGAGAUCUGGAGGAAUACCGAUGGCGAAGGCAGCCAUCUGGCCUAAUACUGACGCUGAGGUACGAAAGCAUGGGGAGCAAACAGGAUUAGAUACCCCUGUAGUCCAUGUCUCUUAUAC